CAAUCAGAGAACUAAAUUUGUACCACAUGACCAUGGUAUUUUUCAGCGAAUACUAUAACCUAGGCAAUUUGAACCCUGGGUGUUUUACCCGGGGCCAUGGUAUUCGACUUCGAAUACCACGCUUGAGCGGGAAAUUCGACUUUUUUAAAUGUAAAGUUAUCAAAAGUUGUGUUUUGAAAUUAAAAGUUAAUUGAAUGGUAUUUGUUUUCUAUUUAUUUUUGAAAGGUUCGG